rnacentral:rRNA from 1 species
AGUGAACGCUGGCGGUAGGCCUAACACAUGCAAGUCGAACGGCAGCACAGUAAGAGCUUGCUCUUACGGGUGGCGAGUGGCGGACGGGUGAGGAAUACGUCGGAAUCUACUUUUUCGUGGGGGAUAACGUAGGGAAACUUACGCUAAUACCGCAUACGACCUACGGGUGAAAGCAGGGGAUCUUCGGACCUUGCGCGAUUGAAUGAGCCGAUGUCGGAUUAGCUAGUUGGCGGGGUAAAGGCCCACCAAGGCGACGAUCCGUAGCUGGUCUGAGAGGAUGAUCAGCCACACUGGAACUAAGACACGGUCCAGACUCCUACGGGAGGCAGCAGUGGGGAAUAUUGGACAAUGGGCGCAAGCCUGAUCCAGCCAUACCGCGUGGGUGAAGAAGGCCUUCGGGUUGUAAAGCCCUUUUGUUGGGAAAGAAAAGCAGCAGGUUAAUACCCCGCUGUUCUGACGGUACCCAAAGAAUAAGCACCGGCUAACUUCGUG